rnacentral:rRNA from 1 species
GGUUAAGCGACUAAGCGUACACGGUGGAUGCCCUGGCAGUCAGAGGCGAUGAAGGGCGUGCUAAUCUGCGAUAAGCGCCGGUAAGGUGAUAUGAACCGUUAUAACCGGCGAUACCCGAAUGGGGAAACCCAGUGUGACUCGUCACACUAUCAUUAACUGAAUCCAUAGGUUAAUGAGGCGAACCGGGGGAACUGAAACAUCUAAGUACCCCGAGGAAAAGAAAUCAACCGAGAUUCCCCCAGUAGCGGCGAGCGAACGGGGAGGAGCCCAGAGCCUGAAUCAGCAUGUGUGUUAGUGGAAGCGUCUGGAAAGGCGCGCGAUACAGGGUGACAGCCCCGUACACAAAAGCGCAUGUGCUGUGAGCUCGAUGAGUAGGGCGGGACACGUGGUAUCCUGUCUGAAUAUGGGGGGACCAUCCUCCAAGGCUAAAUACUCCUGACUGACCGAUAGUGAACCAGUACCGUGAGGGAAAGGCGAAAAGAACCCCGGCGAGGGGAGUGAAAAAGAACCUGAAACCGUGUACGUACAAGCAGUGGGAGCCCCACCACCAAAGCAUUCUCUGGUGUUGAAGGCCCUGCAAAGCAGCAUCGCGGUGGCGGAGCGUCGUUUGCGACGCCCAACACACAAAACAAGCGGUGAAUGCUUUGGGGUGGGGUGACUGCGUACCUUUUGUAUAAUGGGUCAGCGACUUAUAUUCUGUAGCAAGGUUAACCGAAUAGGGGAGCCGGAGGGAAACCGAGUCUUAAUUGGGCGUUAAGUUGCAGGGUAUAGACCCGAAACCCGGUGAUCUAGCCAUGGGCAGGUUGAAGGUUGGGUAACACUAACUGGAGGACCGAACCGACUAAUGUUGAAAAAUUAGCGGAUGACCUGUGGCUGGGGGUGAAAGGCCAAUCAAACCGGGAGAUAGCUGGUUCUCCCCGAAAGCUAUUUAGGUAGCGCCUCGUGAAUUCAUCUCCGGGGGUAGAGCACUGUUUCGGCUAGGGGGCCAUCCCGGCUUACCAACCCGAUGCAAACUGCGAAUACCGGAGAAUGUUAUCACGGGAGACACACGGCGGGUGCUAACGUCCGUCGUGAAGAGGGAAACAACCCAGACCGCCAGCUAAGGUCCCAAAGUCAUGGUUAAGUGGGAAACGAUGUGGGAAGGCCCAGACAGCCAGGAUGUUGGCUUAGAAGCAGCCAUCAUUUAAAGAAAGCGUAAUAGCUCACUGGUCGAGUCGGCCUGCGCGGAAGAUGUAACGGGGCUAAACCAUGCACCGAAGCUGCGGCAGCGAACGUAUCACCCAAGACAACUUUACGGAGUUGACGAUUGACGGAGCGAAGCGACGUCAAAGCGUUCAUUAAAGUCGAGUUGGCUUAGGGAUACGUUCGUUGGGUAGGGGAGCGUUCUGUAAGCCUGUGAAGGUGUGUCGUGAGGCAUGCUGGAGGUAUCAGAAGUGCGAAUGCUGACAUAAGUAACGAUAAAGCGGGUGAAAAGCCCGCUCGCCGGAAGACCAAGGGUUCCUGUCCAACGUUAAUCGGGGCAGGGUGAGUCGACCCCUAAGGCGAGGCCGAAAGGCGUAGUCGAUGGGAAACGGGUUAAUAUUCCCGUACUUGGUGUUACUGCGAAGGGGGGACGGAGAAGGCUAUGUUGGCCGGGCGACGGUUGUCCCGGUUUAAGCGUGUAGGUGUGUGUUCCAGGUAAAUCCGGUUCACUUUAACACUGAGGCGUGACGACGAGGCACUACGGUGCUGAAGCAACAAAUGCCCUGCUUCCAGGAAAAGCCUCUAAGCAUCAGGUAACACGAAAUCGUACCCCAAACCGACACAGGUGGUCAGGUAGAGAAUACCAAGGCGCUUGAGAGAACUCGGGUGAAGGAACUAGGCAAAAUGGUGCCGUAACUUCGGGAGAAGGCACGCUGACACGUAGGUGAAGUGAUUUACUCAUGGAGCUGAAGUCAGUCGAAGAUACCAGCUGGCUGCAACUGUUUAUUAAAAACACAGCACUGUGCAAACACGAAAGUGGACGUAUACGGUGUGACGCCUGCCCGGUGCCGGAAGGUUAAUUGAUGGGGUCAGCGUAAGCGAAGCUCCUGAUCGAAGCCCCGGUAAACGGCGGCCGUAACUAUAACGGUCCUAAGGUAGCGAAAUUCCUUGUCGGGUAAGUUCCGACCUGCACGAAUGGCGUAAUGAUGGCCAGGCUGUCUCCACCCGAGACUCAGUGAAAUUGAACUCGCUGUGAAGAUGCAGUGUACCCGCGGCAAGACGGAAAGACCCCGUGAACCUUUACUAUAGCUUGACACUGAACAUUGAGCCUUGAUGUGUAGGAUAGGUGGGAGGCUUUGAAGUGUGGACGCCAGUCUGCAUGGAGCCGACCUUGAAAUACCACCCUUUAAUGUUUGAUGUUCUAACGUGGACCCGUAAUCCGGGUUGCGGACAGUGUCUGGUGGGUAGUUUGACUGGGGCGGUCUCCUCCUAAAGAGUAACGGAGGAGCACGAAGGUUGGCUAAUCCUGGUCGGACAUCAGGAGGUUAGUGCAAUGGCAUAAGCCAGCUUGACUGCGAGCGUGACGGCGCGAGCAGGUGCGAAAGCAGGUCAUAGUGAUCCGGUGGUUCUGAAUGGAAGGGCCAUCGCUCAACGGAUAAAAGGUACUCCGGGGAUAACAGGCUGAUACCGCCCAAGAGUUCAUAUCGACGGCGGUGUUUGGCACCUCGAUGUCGGCUCAUCACAUCCUGGGGCUGAAGUAGGUCCCAAGGGUAUGGCUGUUCGCCAUUUAAAGUGGUACGCGAGCUGGGUUUAGAACGUCGUGAGACAGUUCGGUCCCUAUCUGCCGUGGGCGCUGGAGAACUGAGGGGGGCUGCUCCUAGUACGAGAGGACCGGAGUGGACGCAUCACUGGUGUUCGGGUUGUCAUGCCAAUGGCACUGCCCGGUAGCUAAAUGCGGAAGAGAUAAGUGCUGAAAGCAUCUAAGCACGAAACUUGCCCCGA